rnacentral:rRNA from 1 species
GCCAAAUAGCUAGCUUAAAACCCAAAACUUACACAACAAUAUCUAAAAAGUUUUACUAAACCCUAAAUUUAAAACUAAAACAUUCUUCCACCCUAGUAUGAGUGACAGAAAAGGUCUAACAAAGCAAUAAAAAAGUACCGCAAGGGAAAGCUGAAAGAGAAAUGAAACAAACCAUCCAAGCCCAACAAAGCAGAGACUAACCCUCGUACCUUUUGCAUCAUGAUUUAGCCAGCCACUUAUGAGCAAAGAGCACUUUAGUUCAAAACCCCGAAACUAGGUGAGCUACCCCGAGACAGCCUAUUAUAGGGCCAACCCGUCUCUGUGGCAAAAGAGUGGGAAGAUCUCCAGGUAGAGGUGAUAUACCUACCGAACCUAGUUAUAGCUGGUUGCCUAAAAAAUGGAUAGAAGUUCAGCCUUGCACUCCUCACCUCACAAAAAAGUUACAACUAAUACACGAACCUGAGAAAUAUGCAAGAGUUAGUCAGAGGGGGUACAGCCCCUCUGAAAAGGGAUACAACCCUAUGCAGGAGGUUAAAAAUUAUACUAAACAAGAUUAUUGCUUCAGUGGGCCUAAAAGCAGCCAUCUGAACAGAAAGCGUUAAAGCUCAAGCAACCCAAAAAUCUAUUAUCCAAAUAAACAUAUCUUAAACCCCUAACCAUAUUAGGCCUUUCCAUGCUAACAUGGAAGUGACACUGCUAAAAUGAGUAAUAAGAAGAAUCCAUUCUUCUCCCAGCCCACGUGUAAUCUAGAUCGGACUACCCACUAGCCAUUAACGAACCCACCCAAAGAGAGCAAUGUGAUUAAAAAAAUAAUCAAGAAAAAAUCACAAUUAACAAUCGUUAAUCCCACACUGGAGAGCCUAUAAGGAAAGACAAAAAGAAGAGGAAGGAACUCGGCAAACACAAGCCCCGCCUGUUUACCAAAAACAUCGCCUCUUGCAAAAAUCAAUGUAUAAGAGGUCCUGCCUGCCCAGUGACUAUGAGUUAAACGGCCGCGGUAUUCUGACCGUGCAAAGGUAGCGCAAUCACUUGUCUUUUAAAUGAAGACCUGUAUGAAUGGUGAAACGAGGGCUUAACUGUCUCCCCCUUCUAGUCAAUGAAAUUGAUCUACCCGUGCAGAAGCGGGUAUAAUAAGACAAGACGAGAAGACCCUUUGGAGCUUAAGAUAAAAGACCAACUAUGUCAAAAGUCCUAAAAAAGACUAAACCAAAUAAUACUGGUCCUAAUCUUCGGUUGGGGUGACCACGGGAGAAAACAAAGCUCCCAUGCGGACUGGGGUUAUUCCCUAAAACUAAGAGAAACAUCUCUAAGACACAGAACAUCUGACCAUAAAGAUCCGGCUACAUGCCGACCAACGGACCAAGUUACCCUAGGGAUAACAGCGCAAUCCUCUUCCAGAGUCCAUAUCGACAAGAGGGUUUACGACCUCGAUGUUGGAUCAGGACAUCCUAAUGGUGCAGCCGCUAUUAAGGGUUCGUUUGUUCAACGAUUAAAGUCCUACGUGAUCUGAGUUCAGACCGGAGCAAUCCAGGUCAGUUUCUAUCUGUAAUGCUAUUUUUCCUAGUACGAAAGGACCGGAAAAAUGGGGCCCAUAUUACAAAUACGCCCCUCCCUAACUUAAUGAAAACAACUAAAUUAAAUAAAAGGUAAAGCACAACCCCUAAAUCAAAAUAAGAUCUU